AACACGUUCCCUAAUUUUAGAAAACUCUUCCUCUUCGUCUUCCUCAACCAAAACCUUUUUCUCUCACAAAUAUCUCUACUAAUUGUAAGAUCAUUCUAUCACCCUCUCCAAAAAUUCAACCGUCACUUAUCUCAAUACGGCUGGUAAUUCAUAAUUUUUCUCUUCUUCUUCCACACAGGUGCAUAUUCCUGGUUCAAUAGAGCUUUAUUGGUGGAAGAGCAAAAGAUUGUGAAGAAGGUUUUGAAGAUUUAGAAGGCCAAGGAAAAGCUAUCUACUAAGAGCUAAAGAGAUGAUUGUGGUGGGCGGGGAGGAGAGAGAGCUGAUGGUAAUGAUAUUUUAAUUAUACCUUAAUAAUCACAUGCAAGUAAAAAAUCGUGUAACGGAACCUCACAUGCAUUAAAUUGUGCACCAAUUAUAAGUGUAAUGUUUAUGACUUGCGUGCAUGGAGAAAGACAAAAAUCAGAGACACUAAUCAUGCCUGGUUCAAGGAGGUAAAAUUAAUUAUA